rnacentral:rRNA from 1 species
AGUGAACGCUGGCGGUAGGCCUAACACAUGCAAGUCGAACGGCAGCACAGUAAGAGCUUGCUCUUACGGGUGGCGAGUGGCGGACGGGUGAGGAAUACAUCGGAAUCUACUUUUUCGUGGGGGAUAACGUAGGGAAACUUACGCUAAUACCGCAUACGACCUACGGGUGAAAGCAGGGGAUCUUCGGACCUUGCGCGAUUGAAUGAGCCGAUGUCGGAUUAGCUAGUUGGCGGGGUAAAGGCCCACCAAGGCGACGAUCCGUAGCUGGUCUGAGAGGAUGAUCAGCCACACUGGAACUGAGACACGGUCCAGACUCCUACGGGAGGCAGCAGUGGGGAAUAUUGGACAAUGGGCGCAAUCCUGAUCCAGCCAUACCGCGUGGGUGAAGAAGGCCUUCGGGUUGUAAAGCCCUUUUGUUGGGAAAGAAAAGCAGCAGGUUAAUACCCCGCCGUUCUGACGGUACCCAAAGAAUAAGCACCGGCUAACUUCGUG